CCUCAGGGGACGCAGAGUGCAGAUGCUUCUCGUGAAGCGGGAGACCCUUGAUUGGUGUCUCCGGCGCCCUGUCGUCAAGAUCGUCAUGCAGUUCUUCGAUGCGAUUUGUGCAUUUUUCCAUGAAGUCUAUGAUCCCAUCUGUUCGAGUAAGGUUAACUGGCUGUAUCCGGGCUGCUCUCUUCCACGGGUUUUGUGACCCGGCGUGCACUGAUGUCACCUUGUCACUCUUAACCUGGUUGAGUUCCGACGCCCGGUGAGCGUGGGACUCCCGCGCAGAUUCAGAUAUCUGCCACUCUGUCACUGAUGCUGCUUUGCCAGCAGCCACUUUUGGCAAAUAAUUGUUUUUGAUCCACUGCUGUGUUGGUGGUUUGUUCAUUUCGUCGCCCUCCAUUUUUCUUUAGCGCAUCUGUAGCCUGGAGCAGCCACCCUUUCACAUGCCCGUAUUUCUGUGUUGGUUGAGGGCAACGUGAGCAGCGUCCUUUGUUGACAAGAGGUCAGCGUGCUUUACCCCAGGCACAAACUCGAGGUUAUCAGCUGUUCAGGAUUACUUGCUACAUGCUUCAAAAGCGUAAAUGUGUAACGACAUCGUCGUCAGACUAGACAUGCAGUUUUUUGAUUCCCCAACCUCAUCAUGACCUUGCGCUUGCUGUUGCGUUGCGCAUUGGCCCACUUGAUGCAGCCCCAACCUCUGUUUCAAAAGAUUACGACUUUGUCUGUGUAAGCAUAUCCGCGAAGUUACAAAACUGAUCGUUUACCAGUUGCAGGAAUCGAGAAUUGAAGAAAGGACCGACUAAGUCGGUUUCUGCGUGUUCCGCGGUGUCGUUGGCGUACUUCUGCCACGCAAACACACCCUAAGCAGCAGAACAGACAAGCCAAAAACCAUUCCGGACGGACUCAGCCCACCUCAAAAGUGUGUCGUCUUUUCCGUUCUGACUGUAG
rnacentral:lncRNA from 1 species